UUUGUGUUGGUUGUUUCUGUUGAUCCGCGUGCGCUGAAUAAUUUUGUGGCAAAUUGGACGAAAUAAGUGUAUUAAAUAGUGUAAAAUUAGUUCAGUGCUGUUUUUAAACAUUAUUUAAAGGCUUUUGUAUUCGGUUUACAUGGAUAAUACGUGGAAUUCCGUUCCAGCAGCUCAAGCCAGUCCCUUGUUGUGCGAUCUGGUGCGAUGUGGUGCACAGGGGUGUCAAACCUUUUGUUUGUUAUUGUUCUUGUGAUUUAAAAAUUAUUCGUUUUACCUAGAGAACAAUGCAAAUGCUUACCAUGUGACUCAAUUCCUGCAACAAAGGAGUGAACGCCUGCGUAUGUUCUUUUUGGAUUCUUUGCCUUCAAAGCCUACUAUUACUUUUGGCGAUUUCACUACCCUACAAGCCCGUUCAUACUGGGUGUGAAACGGUGCUGCCGCAUUUUGGUAAAUCAACCUAGCCAUCGUCAAUCACAUCGUGUGCUCUGUAGCGAUAAAACUUGUUCUUCCAUUUCUGUAAAAUGGCGAGACUUGCCCCACUCUUAGUGCAGUAAGUGACGAAGAAAUUCAAGUUAAAUAGUGACCUCUUGGUAGUAGCUGAUGAAACACUGAAUCAAUAUUCGAAACUGGUCGUAUCGUGUAAGCAGCAGCAGUACCCAAAGGCCCUGUUGCCGAGUUGUUGUAUAAGUAUGAACCGGAACCGAUCUGUUUAUUUGUUGUAUAUGAAGCUACAUUUUUAUAAGAACAAAAAGAUUUAUUAAAACUCGAUAAACAUAAACUACAUAGUUGGGACAAACAACAAAAGAGCUAAGCACCACCAAAGGACAUCUUAAGCCACUACACCUAAAGCUAACAAAAAACAGCGGAAGCAGAAAGUUCACCGAACAUUAGGCUUUAAAAACAAUACACAGAAAAACACAAAGCAAACGUAAAAUCACGACGGGCGUGGAAGGGAAAAUGGGAAAAGCGCUUCCGUGAAGCUAGCUCACCGUCAAAUGCCUUCAGAUCGGUAUCGGAGAAAAUGAAUGAAAUUAUAAAACGUGCCCGACCGUGGGUCUGAUGAUGGUGCGGGAAGGUUGGAAUGAAAGAGACCGAAAUGUUCGCUCCACCCGGCAGUUAGGAUAUGGUGUAGCAAAGCUACUGGCAGCAUGAUUCUUGGAAAGUUGAAAACAACCAACCGAAGUGAGGUGCUUCCGGGUUCAAUUUGUAGCGCUUUCCCUAAAGUUCGGUGUGUUUGUGUGUGUUUGUGUGUGCUACUAUACAAACGGAUUUGUUGUUAAUCGAUGAAAAACGAGCAAAACAAUGGUAGAUUGGUCUCCGACAACGAUUGUGUGCUGCGG